ACUUGCUGAUAUUCUAAAGAAAAAGCUCCCAAUCAUAUUCAUAGCUGUUUCCAUCCUUUCACACUGAGUCAGAGAUCCUUGUUUUUUUCAGAGUGAUACACACACAAUGACAGUCCUGGAAGAUGUGUUCAUGGGUGCGGGUGGUGAAUGAGUGGCUAUGUUCAGUUGGAGAGGUGGCUUUGAAGAACUAUGGAGUUGGGCCAAGUAAUCCACCAGCUGUGCAGUCUUCCUCAUACAAUCAAUGAAAUUUGCAUGCAAAUUAGCUAUAAAGCUAGUGUGGUAACUGGACUCUUAGUAGGGCAUAGAUACAUGCCUUAAUGUAGCUGUGUACUGCAGGGAUGUAAGUUUUAAAAUCAAAAGGGGUGAAAAUUCAAAAAUUGAACAAUAGCCAACUAAGUGCCAGUGAUGAUUCAAGCUGGUGAUAUUCUAACCAAAAAGCCCUCAGCCAUGUUUGUAGCUGUUUUGAUUGCCUCACCCUGCCUCUACAGCCAUUCUAGGCUUCAGAGUGACUCUCAGGGAAUCUUAUUUCAUAGGGGCUUGUGCUGAAAGCUCCUGUUAGCAUACUGCAAUUAAAGAGUUGAAACUCAUAUGGCUUAGUACAGUUUUAUUUCACGAGGAAACCGACAGUUGCUGUCUGCAAUACAGAAGCAGCAGUGUAGUCUUACUGUUUUAUAACCUAGGAUAUUGAUUCACUUUGCUUGUUUAACUCACUCCAUCAGUAGUGGAGCCUUUUCCAUCCCAAAAUAGAAAAUAGCCAAACUAAGUUACAUUCAGCAGCUUUGUGGAAGUUGAAAGUGGGUGGGGCAGUUAGUCUGUCACAUGUUCAUGUGCUGUGCAAGCUUGACUGUGUCUUUAGUCUUAGUUGGGUAAGAUGCUGCAGCUUAGGCUGGGUGCCCUACCAUCAGGCAUGUCAGCAGCAGUGUAUGUAAUGGAAUUUAGAGUGACAGUUUACCUAGUAUUAAAUUCUUGAACUGGGUAAAAAAUACUUGCUCUUUAAUAACUGGUCUCCUAGAAGAGACAGUACAUGUUCUUCUGAACAACUAACAGCUCCUCUAACAAUGAAAAUAUGUCCUAUCUAAACUACAGCCCAUUACCUGUUUGAGCUUGAGUUCAGUUGUGAUUAAGAUAUGUUUGCUUAUUAAGUAUUCUACCAUGAUUUAAGUAUAAAACCAGGAAUUAGAUAUUACUAUACCUCAGUUAUACCAUAUCUCCAGUUUGUCAUCAGUAGGAUAGUGUCAAAUAGAUUUGACAUUUCAAAUUGCUAAGCAGUCUUGACUAUAAAAUAGUACUAGAGAUGUUGCUAUUAACUUUCACUACCUUCUGAUUUUGGCUGAUGUGGAAAGAACCCAUUACACUGCAUUCCACCUCAAAUGCAGCAUCUUUGCUAGGAGAGAGGCAAUCAUGUUGGCUCUAUCAGAUAUAUAUAAAAUAAACUGUGCCUCUUCCGUUAUCUGUAUGUCAGGUUAUCAAUAUGUCACCAUCAGAGGAAAACUUGGUGGUUGGAAAAGGAGCAGUCAAUAAGGGCCUGAGAUUAUAAACACAUUGAAAUCAAUGGAACCACUAAUUGAUUUCAAUGGGCAUUGGGUCAGGCCCUUAUUGACUGCUCAUUUUCAAACCACCAAGGCUAACUAUUAGAGCAGGUACUUCAUAGUUGAGUAGUAGAUUUGGGGGAUGGGAAGAAGGGAAAGAUGUUAUACAGGGAUCUCAUCACCACCAAAAGGACUAGCCUGCAAAACUAGAGUUCAUUCAAAAUGAAACACUAGCUUUUUGUUGUUGUAGAAAUAAGUGUGCAAUGAGAGCUUCAAGUUAUGACAGUGCAAGACUACCAUAAUCUGUAAAAAAGCUUUUAUCAGUGGUCACUGAUACCUAAGAGGAGAGAAGGAAUAUUUGCAAUGUUCCCCACCCCACAAGUAGUUAUAUCAUUCUCUGCUGUACAGUUAAGUGAGCAGAAUUCCCAUUACAAAACAACAAAAUAAAACCCAAAAAGUCGUUGUGGCAGGGAGGUUGGACUCUUUGGAACCAGUUCCUGCUGUUGAUGCUCUGAGACCUAAGGAGCCUUUCAGUGAAGUGUCACUUAAAGGGCAGCACCAGUAAGAGAUAACAGGCCACUUGAGUGGAGAUAGUGAUGCAGAUUUUUCUAAACUUUUUAAAAGAUGGUUCCCCCACUUCAUCGUAUGAUGAUGUGAGAGGAAAAGCCACUUGCAGUCUUUGGUAAUCAAGUCUUCCCUGCUCACAAAUGGAGACUACAGGAGGCAGUUUAUCCCCGAAGAGAUCUUUUCAGAUGGUACAAGCAAGCAGCAAGAAGGGCCUGGGAAAAGCAAUUCCCAACUCAGAGACCAGCAGGCAGCAUAUACUACAAACAUGCAAGGAAGCCAAAUUACAGCACCGUGGUGGCCACAUCUUUGCACGGCAUGCAAGUUUAAAAUAUCUGACAUCAUGGAAAGCCAACCUGAGGGCAUUUUUCCAAGAGGCAUACUCAACUGCAGAGAAUAUUUUCACUAGCAACAACAGUUCUUCAAAAACACUUGCAAAAGUGGAGGAAGAGAAUGAGCCAUAUACAGAUUGAUCACAUUUCCCGGAAUGAGGGGGAGGAACUGCUGUGUAAAUAACAACUGAGACUGUUGAAAAGGGGAGUAUUUCUUACAACAGAAAAAGGAGAUCCAGACAACAUACUUUUCAUGGAAGACACUGAAAAAAAGAGAUGCUAGAAAUUACAUACGCAUUGGACAGUGUCCAGGUUUCAGGGUCAAAGUUUCACUUACUUUAAGAAAGCUUUUUGCUCAAGGUUUCACUUUAGGUUCUUUCCAGGUUAAUUGAAGAUGCAAGAAGGACGUAGAGGUGCUUAGAAAAAAAUUAAAAAGACACCCAACAAGUCUGGUUCUAGCCCUAGAAUAAUCAAACCCGUUUAUAGCUUUUAUCUUUAUUGUGACAAGUCAGAUGAAAUUUGAGACAAUAUCACAAGGUCUCACAGACCACCAGAUGGGUUCAACCAGGUUUGUCCAGGCCGUAGGAAUUAUUUUACUUGUUCAUUUUAAUACCUUCCCACAGAAUUUAAACUGAGGAAAAAAAAUUCCUUUCAGCCUGGGUUCAGAGCCUUGUAAAAAGUAAACAAUCCUCCCCCCAGUCAAGGCUUCCUUGGAGCUCAAAAAGGCUCUCUGCAGCCAUGGUUUCAGUCUUGUUUUAAAACAACAAGAAAGGGCUUUUUAGAUAGCAUGUUCCUCUUCUCUUCGCCUCCACAGAAGGUUUUGCUCCUGGUGCGUGGCACUCAACAGCACCUGGGAGUACCUCCCUCUUAUUAGUAUCCUGGGAAAUUAAUACAUAGCAGCUGGCCCAGUCUGGUUACUCUGACAAUCACUAGGGUAACAGCAAGCUCCUGUAGUCUUGACUACAGACAGUGUUAACCCUCUUUCUGCCAGUCCCUGGAGAGG